rnacentral:rRNA from 1 species
CACGUAGGGCGCAAGCGUUGUCCGGAAUUAUUGGGCGUAAAGAGCUCGUAGGCGGUCUGUUGCGUCUGCUGUGAAAACUCGGGGCUUAACCCCGAGCCUGCAGUGGAUACGGGCAGACUAGAGGUAGGUAGGGGAGAAUGGAAUUCCCGGUGUAGCGGUGAAAUGCGCAGAUAUCAGGAGGAACACCAAUGGCGAAGGCAGAUCUCUGGGCCGUAACUGACGCUGAGGAGCGAAAGCAUGGGGAGCGAACAGG